GAUGAACGCUGGCGGCGUGCCUAACACAUGCAAGUCGAGCGAUUCUCUUCGGAGAAGAGCGGCGGACGGGUGAGUAACGCGUGGGUAACCUGCCCUGUACACACGGACAACAUCCCGAAAGGGGUGCUAAUACCGAAUGUGAUCGCUUUCUCGCAUGAGAGAGCGAUGAAAGAUGGCCUCUAUUUAUAAGCUAUCGCUAAAGGAUGGGCCUGCGUCUGAUUAGCUAGUUGGUGGGGUAACGGCUCACCAAGGCGAUGAUCAGUAGCCGGUCUGAGAGGAUGAACGGCCACAUUGGGACUGAGACACGGCCCAG
rnacentral:rRNA from 1 species